AUUGAACGCUGGCGGCAGGCCUAACACAUGCAAGUCGAACGAGUGGCGGACGGGAGAGUAAUGUCUGGGAAACUGCCUGAUGGAGGGGGAUAACUACUGGAAAAGGUAGCUAAUACCGCAUACCAUCGGAUGUGCCCGAAUGGGAUUAUCUAGUAGGUGGGGUAACGGCUCACAUAGGCGGAGAUCCCUCGCUGGUCGGAUAGGAUGACCAGCCACACUGGAACUGAGACACGGUCCAGACUCCUACGGGUGGCAGCAGUGGGGAAUAUUGCACAAUGGGCGCAAGCCUGAUGCAGCCAUGCCGCGUGUAUGAAGAAGGCCUUCGGGUUGUAAAGUACUUUCAGCGGGGAGGCGUUACCCGCAGAAGAAGGACCGGCUAACUCCGUGCCAGCAGCGGCGGUAAUAC
rnacentral:rRNA from 1 species